AAUGGGCGCAAGCCUGAUCCAGCCAUGCCGCGUGAGUGAUGAAGGCCCUAGGGUCGUAAAGCUCUUUCGCCAGGGAUGAUAAUGACAGUACCUGGUAAAGAAACCCCGGCUAACUCCGUGCCAGCAGCCGCGGUAAUACGGAGGGGGUUAGCGUUGUUCGGAAUUACUGGGUGUAAAGCGCACGUAGGCGGAUCAGAAAGUUGGGGGUGAAAUCCCAGGGCUCAACCCUGGAACUGCCUCCAAAACUCUUGGUCUAGAGUUCGAGAGAGGUGAGUGGAAUUCCGAGUGUAGAGGUGAAAUUCGUAGAUAUUCGGAGGAACACCAGUGGCGAAGGCGGCUCACUGGCUCGAUACUGACGCUGAGGUGCGAAAGUGUGGGGAGCAAACAGGAUU
rnacentral:rRNA from 1 species